UACGGAGGGGGCGAGCGUUAUUCGGAAUUAUUGGGCGUAAAGGGCGCGUAGGCGGCUCCGUAAGUCAAAGGUGAAAUCCCUCGGCUCAACCGGGGAACUGCGUCUGAUACUGGGUGGCUUGAAUCCGGGAGAGGGAUGCGGAAUUCCAGGUGUAGCGGUGAAAUGCGUAGAUAUCUGGAGGAAUACCGGUGGCGAAGGCGGCAUCCUGGACCGACAUUGACGCUGAACGGCGAAAGCUAGGGGAGCGAAACAGGG
rnacentral:rRNA from 1 species